rnacentral:lncRNA from 15 species
AUGGAGGAUAAAUAUCUGCAGCAUGAAGGCUGCACAUCAGAACCUCAACAGGAAACCAUCAGAGUCCUCAUUGAAGACCAGAGCAUUACCAUGCAUUGUGGGUACCUGUUCUACCUGUUCGUGGCAUUGUGGGUGGAGCUUGCAGUAGGUAUGAGCAUAAUCAAACCAAACAUUGACGGGCAGAGCAUCAUUGAGGACCUGAAACGUGAGCUGGACAAGUACGAGACAGUCCUCAACAAGACGAACACCAUGAGGGAAGCACCGGCCUGCUCAAAGACCGCUGCUCACCUGAAUCAGUUGUCCAUGGUGGUCAACCGACUCAUUGAGUAUCAGAAGUGUGCGGAGAAGACCCAAUCCUUUGUUGAGGAUAAAGACAACAUUUUCAAGGAUGUAACCAAUCUGAACGAAGAGCUGCUGAAACACCUGGGCCUGCCGACCACCACCACCUCCUCCCACACAUCCUCCUCCCGUCUCCCCUUCAACAUCGCACAGGAAUCCAUGAGGUGCUUUCGCUGCUGGAAACAGCAGGUGGCAGCACUGAGCAGAUAACGCACAUGCACACACACACAAACACACACUGAGGGGUUCCCCACAAUGUGACUGUGUAAACAGAUAUAUGUCCCCACAAAGAGCUUAAACCGGAGGACAUUAGACUGUGUGUGUAGGUGCUUGAACAACAGGAAGUUUAUUAUUAUUAUUAUUAUUAUUAUUAUUAUUAUUAUUAUUAUUAUCGUUUGUCUUUCUGGAACUAAAAGACAAAAAACGUUGUUUUAUGAAAUAUCAUGUUGGGAUAAAUAUGAGAGGACGUUUGGCCUCCACAGUUACAUAUAUUUUAAAUAAUCAGCUGAACUAUCCAGUGUUAGUAAUUAUUUAUUUAAUUUUUCCAAUCCAGUUAUAGACUGAAUAUAAUUUGUAAUCGGUUGCAAAUGAAUACACAUUCAAUCAUGAGACAGGAGCACAGACGUAUAUACAUAAGGUAAAUAUUAAUAAAGAACCUUCAGUUAAAAAAAACAGAUUUAUUUGGAGAUCAAAAUAUAUUUUCUCUACAAAUGAAGUUCUCAGAAUGACAAAUCUCACAUCCAUACAUGCAGAUUUACUCCUUUUUUUAAUUAGAUGGAACAUAAUAUUUUUAUAUAUUUAUCAUAUUUCAGUGUGUUCAAGUGUCUAUUUCUAUUUAUUUAUAUUUUAUCUAUUUAAUUUCAUUCUAAUGUCAUUGUUUGUGAUGUUUAUUUAAAUGCAGAUUGCAAUUUGCAGCUGUAUAUGUACUUGACUUAACUUGAUGUAUUUGAUUAGAUGUAAAUUUCUGUGUGAACACAAGAGGGCGCUGCGGAUGUGCUUUUAUAAACUGACCAAUUUAAUAUAUUUAUAUUUUAUGUAUUUGUAUGUAUUUUAAACUAAAUUGUAAUUCUGCUCAGAUCAUUUUAUUAUGAAGUUUGGAAUAAAAAAAUGAAAAGAAAUAGUCUGAGUUGUUUCAUUAAACCACAGUAUCAGUGCAGGAUGAUGGAGGUGAGCUGAGCGCCACCCGCAGGCUGUGAGGAGAACCACAGGGUAGAGUGUAGGUUUAAUGGCCCAGAUCUUUGUCUGUCAGGCACAAGUUGCCUGACUCGUUAGAUGCACUUGGACUCAUCUGAUAUCCAUUUCCAGGAAGGUUUGAUAACCUCAUUGACAAUAUUCAAACAAAAUCCAUUCCUGGUUCACAGCACAAUGAAAGCUGCACAUUUUCCACUGAGCUGUAGAAGAAACAGCUGAGAGGACACAACGAGCCAGAAGGUCAUCAGGAGGAACAACUGCACUUCGCUUUGUUUGUUUGUCCUCUUAUCUCUGCCAGAGAAUUUUGAAGUAGAACCGAUAAGUCCCCUAUGAGGAGUUUGUUCAAAUACGAGGCGAAAAAUUCACCGAAAGUGAAAAUAAAAAUAAAAAUGGCUGACUUCCUGUAGGGUUUUAGGUAUAGGUCCAAGAGGCUUUUCUGUAUGUCUUGGUGUGUUACACGUGCCUACCAAGUUUCAUACAUAUCGGUGAAACAGGGUGCUUUGUUGAAAUAUUUUAGGGGGCGCUACAAACAUGACAACACGAUUUUUGGUAUGUGAGCUACAGGCACCAGUCUACACAUGCCCUGUGAAUUUCAUAUUCAUAACUAUUAUGGUCUACACACAGUACCACUUUGUUAUUUAAACUGCCACCAGAGCGCCACCUAGUGAUGGAUUGUUGACAUCUUUUUUAGCGAGCCUCAGGGAGGCAUGGGAGACCAUUGUACCAAGUUUCGUUUUAAUCACACAUGCCGAUGUGGAGAUAUAAACUUCUUCAUCAUAAAGAUGAGAUAAACGAUGACCUGAAAUUGUGCACGAUUCCUAAGGAAUAUGUGGAACUAUGGACCCAAGCCUGGUGUCAAUUGGACAUACCAAUGUGGAGAAAUGCUUCACUUCCUGUUUUGACCAUAAUCUACAGGAAGUGCUAAUAUUAUAACAUGCUUAUUUUUUUAAAUAUCAAAAUACUUUAAAUUACUUUUUUUGCCAGGGCGGUCUCCAGAUGCUUUGUGACAAGUUUCAUGCGAAUCGGACAAAAGUGCAUGGAUGGAACACGAAAACCUAGUUUAUGGACUUCUAUGCAGGAGUGGGCGUGACCUAUAUGGGGAGAUGCAGCUCUAUUCACUGAACGCGUCGAUGUAAUGUUUUUGAAUGUGAGACAAACGAUGCGGGAUUUAGUUUCACCACUUUGCCAAAUAAAAUUGCACUUUCAUAUAUGUUCAGGGGGGCAAAUUAGCAGUCAAAGUUUUCUACAAAUAAUAUAGCUUUAGCAAUUACAAGAGGGGCCUCCAGCGGUCGCUGGCUCGGUCCAUAACAAUAAGAAAUCGAGCAAAAACAAUAGGGACCUCCCAGUGGAUACUGGCUUGGUCCCUAAUAAUAAGAAGAAAUCGAGCAAAAACAAUAAGGACCUCCCAGUGGAUAC